CCUACGGGAGACAGCAGUGAGGAAUAUUGGUCAAUGGGCGAGAGCCUGAACCAGCCAAGUCGCGUGAAGGAUGACGGCCCUACGGGUUGUAAACUUCUUUUGUCAGGGAGCAAUUGUGUCCACGCGUGGGCUUAGCGAGAGUACCUGAAGAAAAAGCAUCGGCUAACUCCGUGCCAGCAGCGGCGGUAAUACGGAGGAUGCGAGCGUUAUCCGGAUUUAUUGGGUUAAAGGGGUGCGUAGGCGGAAUAUCAAGUCAGCGGUAAAAUCGCGGGGCUCAACCCCACUCCGCCGUUGAAACUGUGUCCCUUGAGUGCGCGAAGGGUAGGCGGAAUGCGUGGUGUAGCGGUGAAAUGCAUAGAUAUCACGAAGAACUCCGAUCGCGAAGGCAGCCUACCGGCGCGCAACUGACGCUCAUGCACGAAAGCGUGGGUAUCGAACAGGAUUAGAUACCCGGGUAGUC
rnacentral:rRNA from 1 species